rnacentral:rRNA from 1 species
GAUGAACGCUAGCGGCAGGCCUAAUACAUGCAAGUCGAGGGGCAGCACGGUUUUCGGACUGGUGGCGACCGGCGCACGGGUGCGUAACGCGUAUGCAACCUACCUUAUACAGGGGGAUAGCCCAGAGAAAUUUGGAUUAAUACCCCAUAGUACUACAAGAUGGCAUUUGAAAGUAGUUAAGAUUUAUCGGUAUAAGAUGGGCAUGCGUUAGAUUAGUUAGUUGGUGAGGUAACCGGCUCAACCAAGGACGACGA